AGCCGAGCGGUAUUCGUCCUUCGGGACGGAGAGAGCGGCGUACGGGUGCGGAACACGUGUGCAACCUGCCUUUAUCUGGGGGAUAGCCUUUCGAAAGGAAGAUUAAUACCCCAUAACAUAUGAUACGGCAUCGUAUUAUAUUGAAAACUCCGGUGGAUAGAGAUGGGCACGCGCAAGAUUAGAUAGUUGGUGAGGUAACGGCUCACCAAGUCAGUGAUCUUUAGGGGGCCUGAGAGGGUGAUCCCCCACACUGGUACUGAGACACGGACCAGACUCCUACGGGAGGCAGCAGUGAGGAAUAUUGGACAAUGGGUGAGAGCCUGAUCCAGCCAUCCCGCGUGAAGGACUAAGGCCCUAUGGGUUGUAAACUUCUUUUAUACUGGGAUAAACCUACUUACGUGUAAGUAGCUGAAGGUACAGUAUGAAUAAGCACCGGCUAACUCCGUGCCAGCAGCCGCGGUAAUACGGAGGGUGCAAGCGUUAUCCGGAUUUAUUGGGUUUAAAGGGUCCGUAGGCGGAUCCGUAAGUCAGUGGUGAAAUCUCAUAGCUUAACUAUGAAACUGCCAUUGAUACUGCGGGUCUUGAGUGAGAUUGAGGUAGCUGGAAUAAGUAGUGUAGCGGUGAAAUGCAUAGAUAUUACUUAGAACACCAAUUGCGAAGGCAGGUUACCAAGUCUUAACUGACGCUGAGG
rnacentral:rRNA from 1 species